AUUGAACGCUGGCGGCAUGCCUUACACAUGCAAGUCGAACGGCAGCGCGGACUUCGGUCUGGCGGCGAGUGGCGAACGGGUGAGUAACAUAUCGGAACGUGCCCUGGAGUGGGGGAUAACUAGUCGAAAGACUAGCUAAUACCGCAUACGCCCUGAGGGGGAAAGUGGGGGAUCGCAAGACCUCAUGCUCGUGGAGCGGCCGAUAUCUGAUUAGCUAGUUGGUGGGGUAAAGGCUUACCAAGGCGACGAUCAGUAGCUGGUCUGAGAGGACGACCAGCCACACUGGGACUGAGACACGGCCCAGACUCCUACGGGAGGCAGCAGUGGGGAAUUUUGGACAAUGGGGGCAACCCUGAUCCAGCAAUGCCGCGUGAGUGAAGAAGGCCUUCGGGUUGUAAAGCUCUUUUGUCCGGGAAGAAAUCCCAUCCCUGAAUACGGGGUGGGGAUGACGGUACUGGAAGAAUAAGCACCGGCUAACUACGUGCCAGCCGCCGCGGUAAUAC
rnacentral:rRNA from 1 species